rnacentral:tRNA from 1 species
GCCGAAGUAGCUCAGUUGGUAGAGCACCGCUUUCGUAAAGCGGGGGUCGCCGGUUCAAUCCCGGCCUUCGGCU